rnacentral:rRNA from 1 species
ACGGAGGAUCCAAGCGUUAUCCGGAAUCAUUGGGUUUAAAGGGUCCGUAGGCGGUUUAUUAAGUCAGUGGUGAAAGCCCGCAGCUCAACUGUGGAACGGCCAUUGAUACUGAUAGACUUGAAUUACUGGGAAGUAACUAGAAUAUGUAGUGUAGCGGUGAAAUGCUUAGAUAUUACAUGGAAUACCAAUUGCGAAGGCAGGUUACUACCAGUGGAUUGACGCUGAUGGACGAAAGCGUGGGGAGCGAACAGGAUUAGAUACCCUGGUAGUCCACGCCGUAAACGAUGGAUACUAGCUGUUGGGCGCAAGUUCAGUGGCUAAGCGAAAGUGAUAAGUAUCCCACCUGGGGAGUACGUUCGCAAGAAU